rnacentral:rRNA from 1 species
GCUCGUAGUUGGAUAUGUGCUCUUGACUUUGUCCACCUUCGGGUGCGUACGGAGUGCUCGGGCUUGCUACCGGUUUAACGUCGUAGGCUUUAGUGUUUGCGGCGGGUAGUUGGUGAUUUUACUUUGAAUAAAUCAGAGUGCUUCACACAGGCGAUACGCUUGAAUGUUUUUGCAUGGAAUAAUAGAAGAGGAUUUUGAUUUGAUUUUAUUGGUUUUAAAGAUCGAGAUAAUGGUUAACAGAGACUGACGGGGGCAUUCGUAUCGCUGCGUGAGAGGUGAAAUUCUUGGACCGUAGCGCGACGUACAACAGCGAAAGCAUUUGCCAAGAAAGUUUUCAUUAAUCAAGAACGAAAGUCAGAGGUUCGAAGGCGAUCAGAUACCGCCCUAGUUCUGACCGUAAACGAUGCCAACUAGUGAUCCGCCGGUGGUUAAAUAGCCUUGGUGGGGAGCUUCCCGGAAACGAAAGUCUUCCGGUUCCGGGGGAAGUAUGGUUGCAAAGCUGAAACUUAAAGGAAUUGACGGAAGGGCACCACCAGGAGUGGAGCCUGCGGCUUAAUUUGACUCAACACGGGAAAACUCACUCGGUUAGAACAGCAUAAGGAUUGACAGAUUGAUAGCUUUUUCAUGAUUUGGUGGAUGGUGGUGCAUGGCCGUUCUUAGUUCGUGGAGUGAUUUGUCUGGUUUAUUCCGAUAACGAGCGAGACUAUAGCCUAUUAGCUCGUGAGCACAUAAUUACAGUGUGCUGUGACUUCAUAAAGGGAUUUUCGGUGUACAGCCGCAUGAAAUUUAGCAAUAACAGGUCUGUGAUGCCCUUAGAUAUCCGAGGCUGCACGCGCGCUACACUGUCAAAAUCAGCGUGCUUUUCCUAUCUCGAAAGGGGUCGGUAAACCCUUGAAAAUUUGCCGUGAUUGGGAUUGAAAAUUGCAAUUAUUUUUCGUGAACGAGGAAUUCCAAGUAAGUGCGAGUCAUUAGCUCGCGUUGAUUACGUCCCUGCCCUUUGUACACACCGCCCGUCGCUGCCCGGGACUGAGCCAUUUCGAGAAACUUGGGGAUUGUUGAUUGUUGGUGCUUCGGCAUCGCCUUUCGGUGAGAACCAAUUUAAUCGCAGUGGCUUGAACCGGGC